GACGAACGCUGGCGGCGUGCUUAACACAUGCAAGUCGAACGAAGAGCGAUGGAAGCUUGCUUCUAUCAAUCUUAGUGGCGAACGGGUGAGUAACGCGUAAUCAACCUGCCCUUCAGAGGGGGACAACAGUUGGAAACGACUGCUAAUACCGCAUACGAUCUAAUCUCGGCAUCGAGGAUAGAUGAAAGGUGGCCUCUACAUGUAAGCUAUCACUGAAGGAGGGGAUUGCGUCUGAUUAGCUAGUUGGAGGGGUAACGGCCCACCAAGGCGAUGAUCAGUAGCCGGUCUGAGAGGAUGAACGGCCACAUUGGGACUGAGACACGGCCCAGACUCCUACGGGAGGCAGCAGUGGGGAAUCUUCCGCAAUGGACGAAAAGUCUGACGGAGCAAACGCCCGCGUGAGUGAUGACGGCCCUUCCGGGGUUGUAAAAGCUUCUGUU
rnacentral:rRNA from 1 species